rnacentral:snRNA from 1 species
AUGCUUACUUCGGCAGCACUUAUACUAAAAUUGGAACCAUACAGAGAAGAUUAGCAUGACCCCUGUGCAAGGAUGACAUGCAAAUUUGCAAAGCAUUCCAUAUAUUU